rnacentral:rRNA from 1 species
GGAAUCUUCCACAAUGGGCGCAAGCCUGAUGGAGCAACACCGCGUGAGUGAAGAAGGGUUUCGGCUCGUAAAGCUCUGUUGUUAAAGAAGAACACGUAUGAGAGUAACUGUUCAUACGUUGACGGUAUUUAACCAGAAAGUCACGGCUAACUACGUGCCAG